UGACCCCAUGCCGAACUCAGAAGUGAAACGCCGUAGCGCCGAUGGUAGUGUGGGGCCUCCCCAUGCGAGAGUAGGGAACUGCCAGGC
rnacentral:rRNA from 5 species